GCCUCUGUGGUGUAGUGGUCAGCACGCUCGACGCGUAUUCGAGAGGUCCGUGGUUCGAGUCCCGGCGAGAGCA
rnacentral:tRNA from 1 species